CGCCUCUUGAUUUUACAUAAGAGGUCCAGCCUGCCCAGUGACUCUGUUCAACGGCCGCGGUAUCCUAACCGUGCGAAGGUAGCGUAAUCACUUGUUCUUUAAAUGAGGACUAGUAUGAAUGGCACCACGAAGGUUUUACUGUCUCCCUUUUUUAAUCAGUGAAACUAAUCUUCCCGUGAAGAAGCGGGAAUAAACCUAUAAGACGAGAAGACCCUAUGGAGCUUUAAACUAUUUAUCAAUUGUUUAUUCAUUUCCACUAUUUCAGAACCAUAUCCUUUAUUAUAGCUUUUUGGUAAUAAGUUUUAGGUUGGGGUGACCGCGGAGUAAAAAAUAACCUCCAUAUUGAAAGGGGACCUUCCUGAGCAAAAAACUACAAUUUUAUGCACCAACAUAUUGACAUUAAUUGACCCAAUAAUUUGACCAACGAACCAAGUUACCCUAGGGAUAACAGCGCAAUCUACUUCAAGAGCUCCUAUCGACAAGUAGGUUUACGACCUCGAUGUUGGAUCAGGGUAUCCUAGUGGUGCAGCCGCUACUAAAGGUUCGUUUGUUCAAC
rnacentral:rRNA from 1 species